rnacentral:rRNA from 1 species
UACGGAGGGAGCUAGCGUUGUUCGGAAUUACUGGGCGUAAAGCGCACGUAGGCGGCUUUUUAAGUCAGGGGUGAAAUCCCGGGGCUCAACCCCGGAACUGCCCUUGAAACUGGAGAGCUAGAAUCUUGGAGAGGCGAGUGGAAUUCCUGGUGUAGCGGUGAAAUGCGCAGAUAUCAGGAAGAACACCCGUGGCUAAGGCGGCUCUCUAGUACGGUACUGACGCUGAGACGCGAAAGCGUGGGGAGCGAACAGG